rnacentral:rRNA from 1 species
AGAGUGAACGCUGGCGGUAGGCCUAACACAUGCAAGUCGAACGGCAGCACAGUAGGAGCUUGCUCUUACGGGUGGCGAGUGGCGGACGGGUGAGGAAUACAUCGGAAUCUACCUUUUGGUGGGGGAUAACGUAGGGAAACUUACGCUAAUACCGCAUACGCCCUUCGGGGGAAAGCCGGGACCAGCAAUGGCCUGGCGCUGAUAGAUGAGCCGAUGUCGGAUUAGCUAGUUGGUGAGGUAAUGGCUCACCAAGGCGACGAUCCGUAGCUGGUCUGAGAGGAUGAUCAGCCACACUGGAACUGAGACACGGUCCAGACU